rnacentral:rRNA from 1 species
UUGACCUCGGAUCAGGUAGGGUACCGCUGAACUUAAGCAUAUCAAUAAGCGGAGGA